rnacentral:rRNA from 1 species
AGUGAACGCUGGCGGCAGGCCUAACACAUGCAAGUCGAACGGCAGCACAGUAAGAGCUUGCUCUUACGGGUGGCGAGUGGCGGACGGGUGAGGCAUACAUCGGAAUCUACUUUUUCGUGGGGGAUAACGUAGGGAAACUUACGCUAAUACCGCAUACGACCUACGGGUGAAAGCAGGGGAUCUUCGGACCUUGCGCGAUUGAAUGAGCCGAUGUCGGAUUAGCUAGUUGACGUGGUAAAGGCACACCAAGGCGACGAUACGUAGCUGGUCUGAGAGGAUGAUCAGCCACACUGGAACUGAGACACGGUCCAGACUCCUACGGGAGGCAGCAGUGGGGAAUAUUGGACAAUGGGCGCAAGCCUGAUCCAGCCAUACCGCGUGAGUGAAGAAGGCCUUCGGGUUGUAAAGCCCUUUUGUUGGGAAAGAAAAGCAGCAGGUUAAAACCCCGCUGUUCUGACGGUACCCAAAGAAUAAGCACCGGCUAACUUCGUG